CCUGCCCAUUUUUCUUUGACAUGUUCAGAUGUUGGCAAGGCUGAAAACUGCAGGGGAUCUGGUUGUGAUAAUCCAGGUACAUGCCCCAAGGAAAUGAGGCUACAUGAGGACACAGCAAGAAGGUGGCUGUCUGCAAGCCAGAAAGAGAGCCCUCCCCAGAGACUGAACCAGCUAGAACCAUGAUCUUGGACUUCCAGCCUCCAGAACUGUUGGAAGGUUCUCCUUUGAGAACCCACUGCCGCAGUGGUGAUCUCUGGAACAGGUGGAUAGGUGUGCACUAAAUAAAGCAAGCAGAAGAAGAUGUGCUGGGAGAAUCUCGGUGAUGGGGCAAAGGGUGCUUGCUAUAAAAUUCUUCCAACGUUUCCACAUGUUUGAAAACUGUUCUAAAGUUGAGAAAAUACAAUAAAAUGAUGAAUGUGUCUGUUCUCUAAA
rnacentral:lncRNA from 1 species